rnacentral:sRNA from 1 species
UAGCGAUUAAAAAACCUAACAAACCUACC